AUUUUUAACCUAUAAAUAUGACCCUAUUAAUAUUUCUCUUUUUUAUGGUUACAGGUUUAAUCAAAAGUUUUGUGACAUAUUUGAUCACAGAAGGAGAAUAGAAGAAAUGGUAAAAUAAAAUUGAAUAAGGCAUAUACAUUAUAUUUCAUAAAGUAUAGUAUCAAUAAGUAUGUUGUAUAGCAAUCACACAAUAUUCUGUUAUGUCAGUUAACUCACAGUAUUUGUAACAUUUCUGUUUAUGGCGCAACAAUAAAUAAUAAUUAGUGGCUACUA